rnacentral:rRNA from 1 species
CUACGGAGGGUGCAAGCGUUACUCGGAAUCACUGGGCGUAAAGCGCGCGCAGGCGGUCUUUUAAGUUGGAUGUGAAAGCCUACGGCUCAACCGUAGAACUGCAUCCAAAACUAUUAGACUAGAGUGUGGGAGAGGAAGAUGGAAUUAGUUGUGUAGGGGUAAAAUCCGUAGAGAUAACUAGGAAUGCCAAAAGCGAAGGCAAUCUUCUGGAACACUACUGACGCUGAGGCGCGAAAGCGUGGGGAGCAAACAGGAUUAGAAACCCGAGUAGUCC